GGGGGUAGAGCCUCCGCCCUUUGGGGAGUUUGGAGAUGGCGGCAGCCGGCGACGCUUCGCGGGAGCCGGCGGCCUCGGACCCGCCGGCGGAGCUGCCUGCCUCGGUGCGGGCGAGCAUCGAGCGGAAGCGGCAGCGGGCGCUGAUGCUGCGCCAGGCCCGGCUGGCGGCCCGGCCCUACCCGGCGACGGCGGCUGGGGCUACCGGAGGUAUGGCUAAUGUAAAAGCAGCCCCAAAGAUCAUUGACACGGGAGGAGGCUUCAUUCUGGAAGAGGAAGAGGAAGAACAACACACAAUUGGAAAAGUUGUCCAUCAACCAGGACCUGUUAUGGAAUUUGAUUAUGCAGUAUGUGAAGAGUGUGGUAAAGAAUUUAUGGAUUCUUACCUUAUGAGCCACUUUGAUCUGGCAACUUGUGAUAACUGCAGAGAUGCUGAUGAUAAACACAAGCUCAUAACUAAAACAGAAGCCAAACAAGAAUACCUUCUGAAAGACUGUGAUUUAGAAAAAAGAGAACCAGCUCUUAAAUUUAUUGUGAAGAAGAAUCCUCAUCAUUCACAAUGGGGUGAUAUGAAACUCUACUUAAAAUUACAGAUUGUGAAGAGGUCUCUUGAAGUUUGGGGUAGUCAGGAAGCAUUAGAAGAAGCAAAGGAAGCUCGACAGGAAAACCGAGAAAAAAUGAAACAGAAGAAGUUUGAUAAGAAAGUAAAAGAGGUCGGUGAACACGUUCCAGUUCUCCUGACUAGGCCACAAAGGGCUGAGAGUGGAGUAGACACUAUAGAGAUUAGAAACAAGGAGCUUACCGUGCAGUUUGCUCAGAACAGAGAGGAAUAAAAGCAAGUCUAAAAGUUUAGUUGAAGAGAAAUUGGAACCUGGUUCCUCUUGGUCUUCUGAUUUUGAUCCACAGAGAAGCUGACACAAAGCUUACUUCUUUAUGGAAAGAAUUACGGCGAGCAGUAAGAAGCAGCGUGUGGAGAAGGGAAACAGUUGCUCAUCAACAUGAGUAUGGACCAGAAGAAAACCUAGAGGAUGACAUGUAUCGGAAGACUUGUACUGUGUGUGGCCAUGAGCUGACAUAUGAGAAGAUGUGACUAG